UCCUUCUAUUUGCAUGGUUCUUGUCCUACACUGAACAGGAGAGCCCAGCAAGAUAAUGAUCAUCAUUUGUAUCAGUUAGGGUCUCAACCUGCUCUGAAAUGUUCUUCAUUAGGCUUGUAAGCUGUAUUUAUUUUCAUUACUCUGGUACUUGUGGAACUGUCUGCUGCUGCCUUUUUCUGGACAUUUCUCCCUGCAGGGCUCUUUCACUGUGUCAGAAAUGCAUCCUCUCAUUUCUUCUUGUGCCAAUCCUUUCAUUUUUACAAAACACACGGUUCUCUUCAUCACUUACACACACUGAUACCCUAGAACCAUGUCUGGCCUUGGGAGGAGGGGCAAGACCAUCUCUAAGAUCCCUUUGACCCUUGAGAUUCCCUCUUCCCAGUGUCUUCUCACCUGUUUUAGCACACUGACCUAGCCGUUAUUGUCUCUCAAUCGUACACACAGAUUGUUGAAGGUUUGGAUCUUUAAAUGGCUCUGUACUAUGGGGAUGAACACCAGCAUGCCAUGGUUGAGUUAAAGAGAAAACAUCUAAAUGAGAAAAUGCUGGUUUUUCCUUUCUUAGAGCAAUCAGACUACUGAUAAACAAAAGGGAAUGUCUUCCUGUUUCUGUAUGUGUGUGUGUAUGUGUGUGUGUGUGUGUAAUCUCUGAGGAGAGAGACAUCAACCAAACAUUCAUGGAAGCCAAGGGCCUAGCUGCCGAGGAGCUGUGACUUCACUGAGACAAAAGAAGAAGUUUGAGACCCAGACAAUUGCUGUGCCCAGGGCUGGAAAAUUGAGACCUCCCAGGACCUGGUUGGGAGCAGUUGCAUUAGCCUUUCUCAUCUCUCAGGAAGGUCUCUGUGUUUCUGAGACUCUCCACAGGCCCUGCUGAGAACAGCCUCGUCACAGAAAAGUGCUGAGGAGGAUGCAAAAGUCUCCAUCAAGCUGGACAAAGCUCUCCUUGAAGACAGGACCAUGUCUUAUUCAACUUUGUAAUCCCAGGACCUGGCACAAAAGCUGGCACCUAUUCAGUGCCUUGGUUCUUUGAGUGUGGCCCUGGACCAGAAGCAUCAACAUCAACCAGGAACUUACUAGAAAUGCACUUUCUUGGGUGCCCCACAAGACCUGCUGAAUCAGAAACUCUGGGGAUGUAGUUCAACACCUGUGCGCUGACAAGCCCUCCAGGUGAUCCGGAUACAUGCUCACGUUUGAGAACCGUGGCUUUACGGGAGAAAACAGUCAUGAUUGCUUACAACAGAAUACCAUAAAUUGCUUUUUGAAAAGCAGUGCAAUAUAUGGGCAUACUAAAAUUGAAGCAUGACAGAUAAAUAUGACAUCAGGAUGUCAUCCAAUGAAAAAUAGAUUUUUUAUUCUGUGUCCUGGACACGGCAUUGCUGAUUUUUAUUUAUCCACCUUUCUCCUGCCUGAGGGAAAACAAGUAUUUAAAAUGCAUUGCUAUUUGCAUUGAGCUUGUCUGCUCCCUGAAGCCUCAAGAUCAUUCCUCAAAGACACGGAGUGCUGAUUGGGACAUCCCGCAGGUUAAAGUGAGUUUCGGACUCGAUGGUUCUGCACAGCAAAGCUGGGCCGUGUCCCACUUCAACCUCACUUUAUGGGAUUUACGGCACAUUUUGAAGAUGAGUGAUUAGAAGAUAAAGACUGGAGAAGUUUGCUCCUUGGUGACUGAGGUAAGGAGGGAUGUAUGUGGAGCAUUUUGAAUUUAGUUUUGAUGGUCUUUUGAAGGAAACUGGGUUCCUUGGACCCAGCUUGUGAUCCAGAGACUUCAUGUGGAGAAGAUGGGGAAUUUCUGAUAGGCCAGGCAUACCUACCCUAUGGCAGUGGUAGAGCUGGAUUUUGGCUUCUCAAAGAGAGUUGAAAUUUUAAGAACUUGUCCUCAGGAAAUUAAUCAUUGUGGCACACAAAUUUAAGCAUGAGGAUACUCAC
ensembl:lncRNA